AAGUCGUAACAAGGUUUUCGUAGGUGAACCUGCGGAAGGAUCAUUAACACGUAUCCAAACGUUAAAACCUCCUUCAUCCUGCUCUUAAUGUGAAGCUCAAUGUAAUACAUUGGUAAAAAAACCGAACAACUGUUAACAAUGGAUAUCUUGGUUCUC
rnacentral:misc_RNA from 1 species